CCCUUAGAUGUUCUGGGCCGCACGCGCGCUACAAUGAUGAAUUCAACGAGUUUAUAACCUUGGUUGAAAAGCCUGGGUAAUCUUUUGAACUUUCGUCGUGAUGGGGCUAGACCCUUGCAAUUAUUGGUCUCCAACGAGGAAUUCCUAGUAAACGCAAGUCAUCAGCUUGCAUUGAUUACGUCCCUGCCCUUUGUACACACCGCCCGUCGCACCUACCGAUUGAAUGGUCCGGUGAAAUCUUCGGAUUGAGACUUUGUUUUCUUCACGGAAAACGCUGUUUUAAAAAGUUGAUUAAACCUUACCAUUUAGAGGAAGGUGAANUCGUANCA
rnacentral:rRNA from 1 species